rnacentral:rRNA from 1 species
UAAUACGGAAGGGGCUAGCGUUGUUCGGAAUUACUGGGCGUAAAGCGCGCGUAGGCGGCUUUUCAAGUGAGGCGUGAAAGUCCUGGGCUCAACCUGGGGACGGCGCUUCAGACUGUCUGGCUCGAGUCCGGAAGAGGGUGGUGGAAUUCCGAGUGUAGAGGUGAAAUUCGUAGAUAUUCGGAGGAACACCGGUGGCGAAGGCGGCCACCUGGUCCGGUACUGACGCUCAAGUGCGAAAGCGUGGGGAGCAAACAGGAUUAGAUACCCUGGUAGUCCACGCUGUAAACGAUGGGUGCUAGAUGUCGGGGGGCUUGCUCUUCGGUGUCGUAGCUAACGCGUUAAGCACCCCGCCUGGGGAGUACGGCCGCAAGGUUA